rnacentral:rRNA from 1 species
GACGUAGGGCGCGAGCGUUGUCCGGAUUUAUUGGGCGUAAAGAGCUCGUAGGCGGCUUGUCGCGUCGACUGUGAAAUCCCGCGGCUCAACUGCGGGUCUGCAGUCGAUACGGGGCAGGCUAGAGUUCGGUAGGGGAGACUGGAAUUCCUGGUGUAGCGGUGAAAUGUGCAGAUAUCAGGAGGAACACCGGUGGCGAAGGCGGGUCUCUGGGCCGAUACUGACGCUGAGGAGCGAAAGCGUGGGGAGCGAACAGG